rnacentral:rRNA from 1 species
CGGUAGUCCUGGCCAUAAACGAUGUCAACUAGGUCGGAGGUUCUCUGACGGAUUUCCGGCCGAAAUGAAAACGUUAAGUUGACCGCCUGGGGAGUACGGUCGCAAGGCUAAAACUCAAAGGAAUUGACGGGUGCUCACACAAGCGGUGGAGCAUGUUGCUUAAUUCGAUGCAACGCGAAGAACCUUAUCCUGGGCUUGACAUGCUCGGAUGCCUACCUGGAAACAGGAUCGGCUGCCCUUCGGGGUGAAACUUGCACAGGUGCUGCAUGGCUGUCGUCAGCUCGUGUCGUGAGAUGUCGGGUUAAGUCCCUUAACGAGCGAAACCCUUGUCGUUAGUUGCCAGCGAGUAAUGUCGGGGACUCUAACGAGACUGCCGCUGUUAAACCGGAGGAAGGUGGGGAUGACGUCAAGUCCUCAUGGCCUUUAUGCCCAGGGCUGCAAACGUGCUACAAUGGUUGGUACAAACCGAAGCAAGACCGCGAGCUGGAGCAAAUCGGAAAAAGCCGGCCCCAGUUCGGAUUGGAGUCUGCAACUCGACUCCAUGAAGUUGGAAUCGCUAGUAAUCGCACACCAGCGCGGUACGGUGAAUGUGUUCCUGAGCAUUGUACACACCGCCCGUCAAGUCAUGAA